AGACACGGAGACAUACAAGUUGAGGAGGAGCCCCAAGUCAGCUCUGCUGCUGCCUUCUAGGUGCUCCUUGCUCUGACAGCCCAGCCUACACCCCACCCCGUGCCCCAGCUCAGGAGUUUGUGAAAGCACUUCCCCUACGCCAUUCCAGCCCCAACGACGUGAAGGGAUGUGGGCUCCGGCAAGCCAAGCCAAGCCCUGAUCGGCCGAGUGAGGGGCUGGUACACUGGACUUCCUGGCAAGGCUGGGGCAGGAACGGUAAGUGUCUCAAGUCCCCACGCAACGCUGUGUGAACGAGAACGCAACAGCCCCCUGCCCACGACACUUACUACCAUCGGUCCCUAAACUGUCACCAUUUCCAACAUAGGCCAGGGAUGGCUCCAGUGAAACGGAACCCCCGGCGGGUUGCUCAGCGCACACAACCUGACUGAAGAAGACAGCAGCCUUGCAGGAAGGACCCUUGGGACGAGGGCGUCUCUCGAGGCUGGAUUCUGCCUCGGAAGGUCAAGUGCGACAGCUUGAAUCUAAGGUCAAGAGUUGGGGACGUUCAGAUCCUGGGGAUAUUGGCCGGCGUGGCUCCCCACGUAUGCGCUGGGAGCGUUCAGAGGCUGGGCCCGAGGCCAAGAAAGUGGUACCCAUCAAUCCUGUCUA